AUGACAUGUCUUUUGUCACAACGCCUCUCUCUUAUUUUGUAUGACCUGCUGCAUGUUCAAUGGAGUGUACCAACUACCAAGUGCUACAAGCAUCAUUAUAGAUUAAUUAUGUACCAGAUCACUUUGCUUCAGCCUUUUAGGAGCAUUUUUCUAUAUUACAUACAUGUUCGUACAACACUGCCAAAUACAUAUAGCUGGGAAAUGCAAAUGAACGGGGUUGGGUUUAAUACAAUCAUAAAGAAAGCAAGUGUUCCUCUGUUUUUAAGUCAAUUGCUUUUCACUGGCCAUAAUCAUAUUCAGUUCAAUUACUUGUAG
rnacentral:rRNA from 1 species